rnacentral:tRNA from 1 species
CGGGUCGUAGCGCAGAGGUCGUCGCGCCGCUUUUCAAGAGCGGAGGACACCGGUUCGAUUCCGGUCGACCCGC